rnacentral:rRNA from 1 species
ACUUGAAUGAUUUAAUUAAUUGGGAUUUUAAUGUUAUAAUGAUUAAAUUAGUAUUUUUUUUAAUUAAAUUAUAGGAACUCGGCAAAUUUAGUGUUCGCCUGUUUAACAAAAACAUGUCCUUUUGUUUAUUUAUUUAAGGUCUGACCUGCCCAAUGAGGAAUUCAAUGGCCGCAGUAUUUUAACUGUGCUAAGGUAGCAUAAUCAUUUGUCUUUUAAUUGAGGGCUGGAAUGAAAGGUUGGACGAGAUAUUAACUUUCUUUAGUUUAAUUUUAAGAAUUUAAUUUUUAAGUUAAAAAGCUUAAAUUUAUUUGUUGGACGAGAAGACCCUAUAGAUCUUUAUAAUUUUAUGUUUUGAUAAUUUGGUGAUUUUAUUUAUUGUAAGUAGAAGAAUUAUUUUGUUGGGGUGACUGUAGAAUUUUAUUAACUUCUAUUAUUUUUAUUUCAUUGAUUGGUGUUUUUUUGAUCCAUAUAUUUAUGAUUAAAAGAUUAAGUUACCUUA